rnacentral:rRNA from 1 species
GACGAACGCUGGCGGCGUGCCUAAUACAUGCAAGUUGAGCGCUGAAGGUUGGUACUUGUACCAACUGGAUGAGCAGCGAACGGGUGAGUAACGCGUGGGGAAUCUGCCUUUGAGCGGGGGACAACAUUUGGAAACGAAUGCUAAUACCGCAUAAAAACUUUAAACACAAGUUUUAAGUUUGAAAGAUGCAAUUGCAUCACUCAAAGAUGAUCCCGCGUUGUAUUAGCUAGUUGGUGAGGUAAAGGCUCACCAAGGCGAUGAUACAUAGCCGACCUGAGAGGGUGAUCGGCCAAAUUGGGACUGAGACACGGCCCAAACUUCUACGGGAGGGAGCAGUAGGGAAUCUUCGGCAAUGGACGAAAGGCUGACCGAGCAACGCCGCGUGAGUGAAGAAGGGUUUCGGAUCGGAAAACCCUGUUGGUAGAGAAGAAAGUUGGGGAGAGUGGAAAGCUCAUAAAGUGACGGUAACUAACCAGAAAGGGACGGCUAACUACGUG